rnacentral:rRNA from 1 species
UACGUAGGGUGCAAGCGUUGUCCGGAAUUAUUGGGCGUAAAGAGCUCGUAGGCGGUUUGUCGCGUCUGCUGUGAAAACUCGGGGCUUAACCCCGGGCCUGCAGUGGGUACGGGCAGACUAGAGUGCGGUAGGGGAGACUGGAAUUCCAGGUGUAGCGGUGAAAUGCGUAGAUAUCUGGAGGAAUACCGGUGGCGAAGGCGGCAUCCUGGACCGACAUUGACGCUGAGGAGCGAAAGCUAGGGGAGCAAACGGG